AGCUACACUCAAUUUGGCCUGUCCAAAUUUUUUUUUCAAAAAGUUUCAAAAUUUAUGUAAAUUUCGUUUCGUGUUCUUUGGUUAAAGUGUAAUCAUGCCUGGCAAAAAGCGAAGCUCUUCCAAAAAGUCAGCUAGCUCCUCCACACCGGUUGCCAACGAAUCGGAAGCGACAAGCCCCGAGGGCACCCCAGCAGAUGCUACCAAAACUGCUGAAAAGGAGGUCAAGAAGAGCAGAACCAAGAGCAAGUCCAAAUCCAAAAGCAAGAAGGAUUAAGCCAAACCGAAGAAUUGACUGGACAUAUGAUAUACACAAAAAAUAUUUGAGGACUUUAAAACAUUAUAAGUUUACAAAAAUUAAAGAGAAUACGCCUUGCAUAUUGAAGAUGCAGAACCGAUAGACUUGACGAUGUAUUUGGAAAAGAAAUGUUUGAUCUUAGCAAGAACUUGUUGAGCAAGUGUAAUUAAACCUUUUCAGAGCUGAACAUAUUCAAAAGAUGGAUAAUUUAUCACAACUUCAGAUCAUUACGUGACCAGGAAGAGGUCGCAAUUGUAACAAGGAGCAGCCCCUUUAAACAUUCAAAGCCGGCAUGUCAAGCCGUUUUAUACCUGCUCUAACUCAAGGCGUUGGAACUAUGAAACGAGCGUCGAUUGCAACUUGCUUAAUUAGUAGGUCCUUGAAGAUCAAAGUUAUGCAGAAAUUGAACCAAACGGCCCGAAUGAAUGUAAUUUACGUAUUUAACAGCACUGGAAACAAAAUUCUUUAAUUUUACCGAACUCACAAUUAAAUAAGGCUGGCAUAUAUAA